rnacentral:rRNA from 1 species
UACAGAGGGGGCGAGCGUUGUUCGGAAUUACUGGGCGUAAAGGGCGCGUAGGCGGCCUGUUAAGUCGAACGUGAAAUCCCCGGGCUCAACCCGGGAACUGCGUCCGAUACUGGCAGGCUUGAAUUCGGGAGAGGGAUGUGGAAUUCCAGGUGUAGCGGUGAAAUGCGUAGAUAUCUGGAGGAACACCGGUGGCGAAGGCGGCAUCCUGGACCGAUAUUGACGCUGAUGCGCGAAAGCCAGGGGAGCAAACGGG